UUUCUAGUAAAGUGAUAUAUUGGACAACGGUUCUUGCUGUGUUUGCCAGCUCAGUGGGACGAGCAGCAAACGAGGAGCCAACUCGUGUUUUAGAUAAAUAUAUGAAUAAAAUGGAUAUUGAAUCCGUUGGAAGUAAAUUUUACUUUAUUGAAGAUUCUUUGAAUGUUAACUGGUACCAUGCGAAUAUAUUAUGUAAAAGAAUGGGCCUUGAAUUAGCAUCAUUUAAUUCAGUGGAAGAACAAAAUUUAUUAAUAAAACACCUAAAUUUUACUAACAGAUCAUUUAAAUAUCCCAAUGGAGUGUGGAUCGGUUUAACCAAGCUUCCCGUACCGGGAGAAUGGUUUUGGAUUUCCUCGGGAAGAAAUUUUAAUGGUAAAGGAUGGCAUCCAGCCCAACCAAAUAGCAAAAAUAAUCACACUUGUGGCCAACUUUGGAUUACGGGAAUCGAUGAUACAGAUUGUACUACUAAUAGACCUUUUGUUUGUCAGAUGGUUAAAUUAUCGAAUGACAAUCCAUUCUGAAAUCGUUAAUUAGUUAGCUAAUGUGUUCAUUAUAUAUUCAUAUAAAUUUAUUAAUUACAAUAAAUAUUUACCUUAGCAAUA